GUGGGAUAUAAGAAGUGUGACUGCGUGCCUUUUGCAUAAUGAUCCGGCGAGUUACCGUAUGCGGCAAGGUUAAGUGUUUACGACACGGAGCCCAAGCGAAAGCGAGUGUGAAUAGCGCGACAAAGUCGUAUGUGGUAGACCCGAAAGCCAGUGAUCUAACCAUGGCCAGGGUGAAGCGGGUGUAAAAGCUCGUGGAGGCCCGAAUGCAC
rnacentral:rRNA from 1 species